rnacentral:tRNA from 1 species
AGAGACUUAGGAUAAUCUAAACCAAGGGCCUUCAAAGCCCUAAACAGGGUCACAACCCCUAGCCUCUG